rnacentral:piRNA from 1 species
UAAAGAGGGCAUUUCGGUAGUUGGGCAGA